UCAAUUGUCUUAUAAUUGAAGACUGGAAUGAAUGGUUGAACGAGAUUAAAACUGUUUCAUUUAUAUUAAUUAGAAAUUGGUUUUUAAGUGAAGAAAUUUAAAUUUAAUUAAUAGACAAGAAGACCCUAUUGAGCUUUAAAUAAUUUUAAAAUUAAAAAUUUAUUGUUAAAGAUUUAAGUUUUAAAUAUUUUUUAGUUGGGGCGACUAAGGAACAAAAGAAGCUUCCUUUAUUUGUUAGAUCGAUAGAUUUUGAUCCAGUAUUAAACUGAUUAAUAAAGAUAGUUACCAUAGGGAUAACAGCAUAAUCUCUUUGGAGAGUUCUUAUCAAAAAGGGGGGUUGUGACCUCGAUGUUGGAUUAAAAUGUCCUAAAGGUGUA
rnacentral:rRNA from 1 species